AGAAACCCAUGCAUGAUGCCCAAGCCCUGACCAAUGAGGUAAGAGUAGAAAUGUAGUGAAUAGAUUCUGGGUUAGUUUCACCAACAGGAAACUUACUUCCCCCCAUCUCUCUAUUCCUCUCCAGGAAAAGGGAAAGCCCUCCUUGCCUCCAAGACAGAAACCAUGAUGAGACAUCAAAAUUAGCCUGUGACAAGAAAAUAUUAAUACAACCCAACCAGGCAACAUGUCAACACCCUCAUGCUUCUGAAGCAAGAAAAAUGAUGGGGACUAGGAGAAGACAACGGUGACAACAUCUGAGAGGUAAAUACAAGGAAAAAACCCACUGGGACAGCAUGAAGGGUAAUAGCCAAACAUCGAUCAUUUACAACUGUAGUCCAAAAAAGUCAUAUGCUUCCCAGGGUUGGCAG
rnacentral:lncRNA from 1 species